rnacentral:rRNA from 1 species
UACGUAGGGUGCGAGCGUUAAUCGGAAUUACUGGGCGUAAAGCGUGCGCAGGCGGUUCGUUAAGUCAGAUGUGAAAGCCCCGGGCUCAACCUGGGAACUGCAUUGAACUGGCGGGCUUGAGUUGAUGGCAGAGGGGGGUGGGAAUUCCGGCGUGUAGGCAGUGAAAAUGCGAUAGAGGAUGCGGAGGACACCGAUGGCGAAGGACAGCCCCCUGGGCCAACACUGCGCUCAGGCACGAAAGACGUGGGGAGCAAACAGGA